AUGGAACGGGAGAGCUGGAAAAG
rnacentral:piRNA from 1 species